rnacentral:rRNA from 1 species
AUGCAGUCGAACGGCGCCAGGAGAGCUUGCUCUCUGGGUGGCGAGUGGCGGACGGGUGAGGAAUCUCGGAAUCUACUCUUCGUGGGGGAUCAACGUAGGGAAACUUACGCUANAUACCGCAUACGACCUACGGGUGAAAGCAGGGGCAUCUUCGGCACCUUGCGCGCAUUGCAAUGAGCCGCAUGUCGGAUUAGCUAGUUGGCGGGGUAAAGGCCCACCAAGGCGACGAUCCGUAGCUGGUCUGAGAGGNUGAUCAGCCACACUGGAACUGAGACACGGUCCAGACUCCUACGGGAGGCCAGCAGUGGGGNAUACUUGGNACACAUGGGCGCAAGCCUGAUCCCAGCCAUACCGCGUGGGUGAACGAAGGCCUUCGGGUUGUCACAGCCCUUUUGUUGGGACACAGNNAAUCCAGCUGGCUAAUACCCGGUUGGGAUGACGGUACCCCAUGAAUAAGCAACCGGCUAACUUCGUGCCAGCAGCCGCGGUAA